GGUUCCUUGGCUCAGUCUGGUUAGAGCGUUCCGUUGAUAACGGAGAGGUCGCAGGUUCAAAUCCUGCAGGAACCA